GAUGAACGCUGGCGGCGUGCCUAAUACAUGCAAGUCGAGCGAACAGACGAGGAGCUUGCUCCUCUGACGUUAGCGGCGGACGGGAGAGUAACACGUGGAUAACCUACCUAUAAGACUGGGAUAACUUCGGGAAACCGGAGCUAAUACCGGAUAACAUGUUGAACCGCAUGGUUCAACAGUGAAAGACGGUCUUGCUGUCACUUAUAGAUGGAUCCGCGCCGCAUUAGCUAGUUGGUAAGGUAACGGCUUACCAAGGCAACGAUGCGUAGCCGACCUGAGAGGGUGAUCGGCCACACUGGAACUGAGACACGGUCCAGACUCCUACGGGAGGCAGCAGUAGGGAAUCUUCCGCAAUGGGCGAAAGCCUGACGGAGCAACGCCGCGUGAGUGAAGAAGGUCUUCGGAUCGUAAAACUCUGUUAUUAGGGAAGAACAAAUGUGUAAGUAACUAUGCACGUCUUGACGGUACCUAAUCAGAAAGCCACGGCUAACUACGUG
rnacentral:rRNA from 1 species